UUUUUUUUUUUUUUCCUACUGUUUCACAGUUGGCCUUUGUAACUGCUCUUGGCUCUGGAGUGUUUUCUACACAGAAAUUGUAAGUCUGUAAUUUAACACACAGAUGGAAACAUGCUUUGUUUCCAUCAGACACAAACAAUGCAGAAACAGAGCGGAAUGACUAGGUUCAAUUAGGACUUUUGUUCUGUUGGGUUUUUUUUUUAAAUUUCCAAGUCUUCAGAUGAACAAUCUGUAUUUACAUCUUGUUCUCUAUGAGCAGCUGUGGAAGCUUCCUGAAUUGUGCAUGUUCUUUUUAUACCGCCCCUGUUGCUUGUAGCCUCUGGGUGGAUAUUGGGUGUGUCCCCAUGGGCUGUUUGCAGCCCCGUGGCUGGUGAGUAUGAAGGGAAGGGAGAGGAGGAUGACAAUUUGGGAGCGAGAUCAUCCCGAGGUGCUGAGCUGUCGCUCUCAAGAGCCCAGGAAGCGCGUGCCCGAUAGCAGGGAGUUGGUGGUGGCCCCCAUUGAGCUUCUUGGCUUGGGAAGAGAUUUUCCCGUCACCCUGUGCUCAGUGUGGAUGUGUUGGGAACCUUUAGGAUACAGAGAUAAGGUAGUUGUGGUACAGUAUUAUUUUCCGUCUGCCUGCAUGCCCCGGGGACCUCCUCGUUCAUUUGUGUACUGGUGCUGAGGAAGGUUAGGACUCAAACUGCUCAAAUGGAACAAUGCAGCAUCUAUUUAUUGUUAUUCCCCAUUUUCCCAAAGCCAGGACUUAGAGAGCUUGAGCUCACGCUAACCCAAGGUUCCGUAGUUCUUUAAUGGAGAAACUAAGUGAGGAAGAAGCUGAUGGGUUUUGCUCUCUAGAUCUCCAGAUCUUUUGGGUAGGGAUCCAGAAUAUUUACUUGGGCUAUUACAGUGCUAGACAACUGUCUUUUCUGAUGUUGUUCCAGUAAGUGCCAAUGCUGUUCAUAAUUGUUUUCCAGUGUCAUUAAGAAUUUGGUUUUUGUGCAAAUUUCUGAUCUGAACCUGGAAGCAGGUGGUAAUUUUAAGUUAGUUCCUACUUUUAAGGAAAAUGCUCUGUUAAUGAAAACGGAUCCUCUUCACAACUUUGGUGUAUUGUAGAUUAUAAUGAAAGAUGUAAAAUAGUCAGGCUUUUUUUCCUUUUUUGGACUUUGUAUUUUACUGCAUGUGUCUAAUUUUUAAUCAAUAAAGAACAAAUUGUCCAUUGCCAGGUGUUUGAUAUGUGGUUUGCUUGUCAUUGGGUUGGAUGGUGUUUCUUGGGGAAGGGGUUUGUCUGAGUGGUGUCUGCAACCCCUGGGGUGUUUCUGUUUGGGAUGGUGGGAGGUUUGGCAGCCCCCAGGAGGGGGACAGGGAGAUCAAGUCCAGGCUGGAUGGGGCUCUGAG
ensembl:lncRNA